GUGCCAGCCGCUGCGGUAAUACGUAGGUGGCAAGCGUUAUCCGGAAUUAUUGGGCGUAAAGAGCGCGCAGGUGGUUAAUUAAGUCUGAUGUGAAAGCCCACGGCUUAACCGUGGAGGGUCAUUGGAAACUGGUUAACUUGAGUGCAGAAGAGGGUAGUGGAAUUCCAUGUGUAGCGGUGAAAUGCGUAGAGAUAUGGAGGAACACCAGUGGCGAAGGCGGCUACCUGGUCUGUUACUGACACUGAGGCGCGAAAGCGUGGGAGCAAACAGGAUUAGAUACCCUGGUAGUCCACGCCGUAACGAUGAGUGCUAAGUGUUGGGGUCAACCUCAGUGCUGAAGUUACGCAUUAAGCACUCCGCCUGGGAGUACGGUCGCAAGACU
rnacentral:rRNA from 1 species